rnacentral:rRNA from 1 species
UACGUAGGGGGCGAGCGUUGUCCGGAUUUACUGGGCGUAAAGCGUGCGCAGGCGGUCUGUUAAGACCGAUGUGAAAUCCCCGGGCUUAACCUGGGAACUGCAUUGGUGACUGGCAGGCUUUGAGUGUGGCAGAGGGAGGUAGAAUUCCACGUGUAGCAGUGAAAUGCGUAGAGAUGUGGAGGAAUACCGAUGGCGAAGGCAGCCUCCUGGGCCAACACUGACGCUCAUGCACGAAAGCGUGGGGAGCAAACAGG